AAACUCAAAGGAAUUUGACGGUCCCCGCACAAGCAGCGGAGCGUGUGGUUUAAUUCGUUGCUACACGAAGAACCUUACCUGGGUUUGACAUAGCAGUGGUAGGGAAGCGAAAGCGGACCGACCCUUCGGGGAGCUGUUACAGGUGUUGCAUGGCUGUCGUCAGCUCGUGUCGUGAGAUGUUCGGUUAAGUCCGCUAACGAGCGCAACCCGCGUGGUGUGUUACAAGUGUCACACCAUACUGCCGAUAUUAAGUCGGAGGAAGGUGCGGAUGACGUCAAGUCAGCAUGACCUUUAUAUCCAGGGCUACACACACGCUACAAUGGUAGGUACAACAGGUUGCCAAGCCGCGAGGCGGAGCCAAUCCUCUAAAGCCUACCUCAGUUCAGAUUGCAGGCUGCAACUCGCCUGCAUGAAGUUGGAGUUGCUAGUAACCGUAGGUCAGCUAUACUGCGGUGAAUACGUUCCCGGGGAUU
rnacentral:rRNA from 1 species